CUAAUUGCAAUAAAUGUAUGCAACCUACCUUUCAGACAAUUUCAGGUCACCAUCGUGAAUAAAGGGCACCUUUUGGAACCUGUUAUACUUUUCUUUAAAUUCUUCGGUUAAAUGUUCCCCUAAAGCCCUAUUUGCAACAGGACAAGCUUCAAAGGGGAUUUUCAUGAGCCUGAAAAACACAUACAAAGCCCGCGAUGGCUGUGAUAGCAGAUCAUAGUAUAAUUUUAUGGAAACCAUCCUGCUUGGAACUUGCUUUAACCGCUUUUCAAGUGGAUUUUGGGUUAUCAAGUUUUUAAUCAUUUGCAAGAACUUUGAACUGCUCUGUUGCCACUUCUUGAGAAUUUUUCUAAUCACAAGAGGACACAUUCCCAGAAUACACCCAAGCGUCACUCCAAAAACACGUCCAAAAUUGGCAGCCUUACGUGAACUUUUCAUUUCCAACUGUAUGGGAGAUAAUUUCGGAGUGCAGCUGCUGCCAUAGUUGACAAGCAAAAAUACGAACCCAGGUAAAAGUCAAUGUAAUCACCGAAUAUUAACAUGAAGAAAUUAUCCAAAAAUCCAAAUCCAAUGAAUGGAAUAGAAUUCGCC